UNUGACUUGAGUGCAGAAGGGGAGAGUGGAAUUCCAUGUGUAGCGGUGAAAUGCGUAGAUAUAUGGAGGANCACCAGUGGCGAAAGCGGCUCUCUGGUCUGUCACUGACGCUGAGGCUCGAAAGCGUGGGUAGCGAACAGGAUUAGAUACCCUGGUAGUNCACGCCGUAAACGAUGAGUGCUAGGUGUUAGGCCCUUUCCGGGGCUUAGUGCCGGAGCUAACGCAAUAAGCACUCCGCCUGGGGAGUACGACCGCAAGGUUGAAACUCAAAGGAAUUGACGGGGGCCCGCACAAGCGGUGGAGCAUGUGGUUUAAUUCGAAGCAACGCGAAGAACCUUACCAGGUCUUGACAUCCCGAUGCUAUUCUUAGAGAUAGGAAGUUACUUCGGUACAUCGGAGACAGGUGGUGCAUGGUUGUCGUCAGCUCGUGUCGUGAGAUGUUGGGUUAAGUCCCGCAACGAGCGCAACCCUUAUUGUUAGUUGCCAUCAUUAAGUUGGGCACUCUAGCGAGACUGCCGGUAAUAAACCGGAGGAAGGUGGGGAUGACGUCAAAUCAUCAUGCCCCUUAUGACCUGGGCUACACACGUGCUACAAUGGUCGGUACAACGAGUUGCGAGCCGGUGACGGCAAGCUAAUCUCUGAAAGCCGAUCUCAGUUCGGAUUGGAGGCUGCAACUCGCCUCCAUGAAGUCGGAAUCGCUAGUAAUCGCGGAUCAGCACGCCGCGGUGAAUACGUUCCCGGGCCUUGUACACACCGCCCGUCACACCACGAGAGUUUGUAACACCCGAAGUCGGUGAGGUAACCUUUUAGGGGCCAGCCGC
rnacentral:rRNA from 1 species